rnacentral:rRNA from 1 species
GACGAACGCUGGCGGCGUGCUUAACACAUGCAAGUCGAGCGGUAAGGCCCUUUCGGGGGUACACGAGCGGCGAACGGGUGAGUAACACGUGGGUGACCUGCCCUCAGCUCUGGGAUAAGCCUGGGAAACCGGGUCUAAUACUGGAUAUGACUCCAUGACGCAUGUUGUGGGGUGGAAAGCCUCGUGCGGCUGAGGAUGGGCCCGCGGCCUAUCAGCUUGUUGGUGGGGUGAUGGCCUACCAAGGCGACGACGGGUAGCCGGCCUGAGAGGGCGACCGGCCACACUGGGACUGAGACACGGCCCAGACUCCUACGGGAGGCAGCAGUGGGGAAUCUUGCGCAAUGGGCGAAGGCCUGACGCAGCGACGCCGCGUGAGGGAUGACGGCCUCGG